GGCGGCAGGCUUAACACAUGCAAGUCGAACGGUAGCAGGAAGAAAGCUUGCUUUUUUUGCUGACGAGUGGCGGACGGGUGAGUAAUGCUUGGGAAUCUGGCUUAUGGAGGGGGAUAACUGUGGGAAACUGCAGCUAAUACCGCGUAUAAUCGAGAGAUGAAAGGGUGGGACCGUAAGGCCACUUGCCAUAAGAUGAGCCCAAGUGGGAUUAGGUAGUUGGUGGGGUAAAGGCCUACCAAGCCUGCGAUCUCUAGCUGGUCUGAGAGGAUGGCCAGCCACACUGGGACUGAGACACGGCCCAGACUCCUACGGGAGGCAGCAGUGGGGAAUAUUGCGCAAUGGGGGGAACCCUGACGCAGCCAUGCCGCGUGAAUGAAGAAGGCCUUCGGGUUGUAAAGUUCUUUCGGUGAUGAGGAAGGGGUAUUAUUGAAUAGAUAAUAUCAUUGACGUUAAUUACAGAAGAAGCACCGGCUAACUCCGUGCCAGCAGCCGCGGUAAUACGGAGGGUGCGAGCGUUAAUCGGAA
rnacentral:rRNA from 1 species